UACGUAGGAGGCGAGCGUUGUCCGGAGUUACUGGGCGUAAAGGGUGCGCAGGCGGCCCGCCGCGUGGGGGGUGAAAUCUCGCCGCUUAACGGCGAGGGGGCUUCCCAGACGGGCGGGCUUGAGCGGCGGAGGGGGGCGCGGAAUUCCGGGUGGAGCGGUGAAAUGCGUAGAGAUCCGGAAGAACACCGACGGCGAAGGCAGCGCCCUGGACGCCGGCUGACGCUCGGGCACGAAAGCGCGGGGAG
rnacentral:rRNA from 1 species